AAAAUAAAUCAAAUAUACGCCGUACUGCAUUCUUCCGCACCUCAGAUUAGUCAUCAAAAUACUUAUUUUAGGACAAAAAUUCUGAUGUAACAAUGAUUGGAUGAUACGACAUUUUUAAUCUUUCGUCUCCAGGGAUAUACAUUCGAUUCUAUUGAGCACAAGAAGAUUAACAAUGGCAUUGAUUUAAAAGCCUUCGACAAAUACAACCCUGACGAGCACCAUGAAAUAGGGAAUUUAGUACAUUUUGGGCCAAAACUUCGUGGAAUGGUAACGUUUAACUCUGACGAGCACAAACAUAUUGGAGGGAAAGUUGUAAUAGGACGACAGAAAAAUGACGACGACGAAAAUCAAGACACGGGACAAGAUUAUGUCGAUGCAAAAAUUCAAGGUGACAUAUUCUUAUAUUUUUACCUAUUUAUAGG